rnacentral:rRNA from 1 species
GCAGUCGACGAUGAACCCCUUCGGGGUGGAUUAGUGGGCGAACGGGUGAGUACCGUGGGCAAUCUGCCCUGCACUUCGGGACAAGCCCUGGAAACGGGGUCUAAUACCGGAACCCGCCGCCGCCCGCAUGGGCGGCGGCGGAAAGCUCCGGCGGUGCAGGAUGAGCCCGCGGCCUAUCAGCUGGUUGGUGAGGUAACGGCUCACCAAGGCGACGACGGGUACCGGCCUGAGAGGGCGACCGGCCACACUGGGACUGAGAACGGCCCAGACUCCUACGGGAGGAGCGUGGGGAAUUUGACAAUGGGCGAAGCCGAAUGCACGACCCCCGGAGGACGACGCUUCGGGUUGUAAACCUCUU